UCUGUUUGGGUGAAUGCAGCAUCUCUGUAUUAGCCUUUUCCAGUACAGUGGUUGGAAACUCUUAUUUAAACGGUGGCCAGGCCCCAGAAACCGUCAACAUCUUCCUGCGAGGGCCGGCGGAGCAGUGCUCCAGAAGUUGGUUCUGCAGCGGGCAGGACAAGGGAUUUGAGGUGCUGCCGUGGUGGCUUUUCCGCUUCCCUUGCCCCAGGGGGCCAUGCAGCUGAGUGGAGGCAGCGCCGCCUUCUGCGCCGCUGCUGGGAACUCCAGGCGGCUCCGGGCCCUUCCCCGCGGCUUCCAGGAGCAGGGAGCAGUCGGACAGGGCGCGUAACAUCCCUAACCACGGUCACCAGAGCAGCCAAGGGGGGGAAACUGUAAGUAAAAGGCUCUAUAAUCUGUCUGGAGGAGCUGGUGCAAAAGGGAACCUUUGGGCUGGUCUACCUCAAAACUGCUAUUUCUUUAAAUAUCAAAAUAACUAUUACAUUUUCUUAGAAAAUUCAAUAUAUUAAUGACAGAAAGCAAUGUAGAAGUUGGAAGUUCAACAAGGGCAAAGAUGCACUAAAGGUGGAAACUGGCCCCUGACUCAAAGGUGGGAAUGCACCUGACUUCCCUGGAUGCUGGGAAGAUGCUUCUAUUCCUGGCAGAGAGUAACUGGGCUAAAGCAGCAGCGGUGGCUCUAGGGCGGGUGCUGGAAUACACAGCUUGCGCUUGACAGUCUAAAGUUCAAAGCUUCUUUGAACAAUGGGGGCUUUUCUGAGCUGAGGGAAGAGUAUGGUGACAGCUUUUAUUGCUUAGAUAUUAUAUCAGAAGUGAGUCUUUGCUGUGGUGCAAAGAACUAAAUUACUUAAGGGUCCUGGG